GACGAACGCUGGCGGCGUGCUUAACACAUGCAAGUCGAACGGAAAGGCCCUGCGUUUGUGGGGUGCUCGAGUGGCGAACGGGUGAGUAACACGUGAGUAACCUGCCCUUGACUUUGGGAUAACUUCAGGAAACUGGGGCUAAUACCGGAUAGGAGCUCCUGCUGCAUGGUGGGGGUUGGAAAGUUUCGGCGGUUGGGGAUGGACUCGCGGCUUAUCAGCUUGUUGGUGGGGUAGUGGCUUACCAAGGCUUUGACGGGUAGCCGGCCUGAGAGGGUGACCGGCCACAUUGGGACUGAGAUACGGCCCAGACUCCUACGGGAGGCAGCAGUGGGGAAGAGUGCACAAUGGGCGGAAGCCUGAUGCAGCAACGCCGCGUGCGGGAUGACGGCCUUCGGGUUGUAAACCGCUUUCGCCUGUGACGAAGCGUGAGUGACGGUAAUGGGUAAAGAAGCACCGGCUAACUACGUG
rnacentral:rRNA from 1 species